UCACCUACGGGAGGCAGCAGUGAGGAAUAUUGGUCAAUGACCGGAAGGCUGAACCAGCCAAGUCGCGUGAGGGACGACUGCCCUAUGGGUUGUAAACUUCUUUUGUCGGGGAACAAAGGGCGCCACGUGUGGCGUUGUGAGUGUACCCGAAGAAAAAGCAUCGGCUAACUCCGUGCCAGCAGCCGCGGUAAUACGGAGGAUGCGAGCGUUAUCCGGAUUUAUUGGGUUUAAAGGGUGCGUAGGCGGUCCGGAAAGGCAGCGGUAAAAGCCCGGGGCUCAACCCCGGCGAGCCGUUGAAACUGUCG
rnacentral:rRNA from 1 species